rnacentral:rRNA from 1 species
UACGGAGGGGGCUAGCGUUGUUCGGAAUUACUGGGCGUAAAGCGCACGUAGGCGGCUUUGUAAGUUAGAGGUGAAAGCCCGGGGCUCAACUCCGGAAUUGCCUUUAAGACUGCAUCGCUAGAGCUGUGGAGAGGUAAGUGGAAUUCCGAGUGUAGAGGUGAAAUUCGUAGAUAUUCGGAAGAACACCAGUGGCGAAGGCGACUUACUGGACACAUACUGACGCUGAGGUGCGAAAGCGUGGGGAGCAAACAGG